GAGGCACUAGCUCAGCCGGUAGAGCAUACGCCUUUUAAGCGUAGGGUCGUGGGUUCGAAUCCCACGUGCCUCA
rnacentral:tRNA from 1 species